ACUUCCUGAGCCGGAACGAAAGUGCGUUUUUAAGCGAAAGCGCAUUUUGGCUUUGUGGUUGUGAUGUUGUGUUUGCUAAUUUGCCUGGCGAGUGUCGGGCGCGGUCGUUAGCUUCCUAUCUCAUAGGAUUAACGAUUAUUUCUGAACAUUUACCCUAUUUGUCACAUAGUGUUUAUGUAGCACCGCCAAGGCGGUGCUUUUUUUU
rfam:Leminorella grimontii ATCC 33999 = DSM 5078 strain ATCC 33999 GLGR.assembly.07, whole genome shotgun sequence.